rnacentral:rRNA from 1 species
UACGUAGGUAGCGAGCGUUGUUCGGAGUUACUGGGCGUAAAGCGUGCGUAGGCGGUGUCUUAAGUUUGUUGUGAAAUCUCCCGGCUUAACCGGGAGGGUGCGGCGAAUACUGAGAUGCUGGAGUGCCGGAGAGGUAAGCGGAAUUCCUGGUGUAGCGGUGAAAUGCGUAGAUAUCAGGAGGAACACCGGCGGUGUAGACGGCUUACUGGACGGUAACUGACGCUGAGGCACGAAAGCGUGGGUAGCAAACAGG